CAGCCGAGACCACGCGCGAGGAUCGUUGGGGACUGCGCUGCCGCUACAUGCGGACGGGGCAGCCGAGCGUGUCCGUGUAUGUGACGGCGAGAUGACCAAACAGAAGUCUGAGCUGGUAUGUGUUACUAUUAUUUUAUUAGAGAGGAAACUGUUCAAUGGAAAUGUGUAGUGUUGUUUAUCUACUUUCUUCGUUGCAGAGCGUAAGUAUUUUUAAGGUAGAUAUCGAUAUUAAGAGAGUGAGUAGAGAAGAUUGGAGAAUAUUGCGAUUGGUGAAUAAGAUAAAGUAGAUGAAGAGAAUGGUUGCGAUUGGUUGAGAGGAGAUAGUAGGUGAAGAAAUAGUUACCGUGCUAAAAAUAACUAUAUUUUAGAAUGGAUAUAAUACUACAUAUCAAUAUGAUGUUGAUCAUUUUUUUUUCACAUUACAAGGAACUAGCUGGAUGGCCCGCGCAAUUGCGCGGCUAGCACCCAUAUAAAAUUAUAUAUUUUUAAUAUGACUUUACUUCAAAUUUAUUAAAUAGUUAUCUCGUUGUCUUAAGAUUUUUAAAGACUAAACCUUAUUAUCCUCGCGUUUCUAAUUUCUUUAGUUUCUAAAGUCACAACAGUUGCUACCCCUUACUUCUGUCAUAUUAUUCUUUAUUUGUUUGCUCGAUCUAUCACAGUUUUCUAUUCAUUCUCCUUGGAAUCUUUAAAAAUUGGAUCUAAAAACUUAUAGGUUUUAGAGUUUAUUGUCCUGUUGGGCAUCUUUUUUAUAAUUUCUAGAAGUCCCGUCAAACACUACCAUUAUACUCAUCUAUGAUCGUCCACUGCAUCUUCUCUCUAUUGUCAUUGCUAUUUUAAAAAUCGAACAUAAUUAUCGUUUAGGUUUAUUUUUUUACUUUCUAUAAGUUCCGCCAAAACGUCAGCGACUUUGUCACUGUACUCCUCUACGACUCACCCGCUGCCGCCCUUCUUCAUUGUCAUUGAGAUUUUAAAAUCAAACAGGAUUAUCAUUGGGGUUUAUUUUUUUUUACUUUUUAGAAACCCGAACCUUUAAAAAUUGGAGUUUAUUGUCUUGUUGGAUUUCAUUUUUCUUUUAUAAUUUCUAGAAAUCCCAUUAAACGCUGCCACUAUACUCCUCUAUGACCCGUCCGCCGCAUACUCUUUAUUAGGAUUGUAAAAGUCAAACAUAACUAUCAUUGGAAUUUAUUUAUUUUUACUUUAUAGAAGACUCACCAACCAUCGGCGACUUUGCCAUUGUACUCCUAUACGACUCGACCGCUGCCUCUCAUUUUUAUUAUUAUUGAGAUUUUAAAAAUCAAAUAUGAUUAUCAUUGGGUUUAUUUUUUUACUUUCUAGAAGUCCUGCCACCUACCUUCAAAUUUUCUGAAAUUUUAAAUUUUAAGUUAAUUUUAAAUUAUAUUCCUACUUGAACUCUUCUUUUCUUUUCUUUUUUCUAAUUUUGAUUUUUUUUAUUUUUUAUUCCGAAAUUUAAUUAAUCUCGUAUUGGAUUCUUAUAUGGACUCUUCUUUCAAUAUUCCUUAUUUUUAAUUCCCAAUUUCUGCUAUUUUUAAAUUGUAAUCCUACUUGGACUCUUUUUUUUUUGCUAAUUUCAGAUUUUAUUUUAUUUUUAUUCCGAAUUUUGAUUAAUCUCGUAUUGGGUUCCUAUAUGGAAUCUUCUUUCAAUAUUUCUUAUUUUGAAUUCCGAAUUUCAGCUAUUUUUAGAUUAUAUUCUUACUUAGAUUUUUUUUUUGCUAAUUUCGGAUUUUAUUUUAUUUUUAUUCCGAAUUUAGAUUAAUCUCGUAUUGCGUUCCUUUAUGGACUCUUCUUUCAAUAUUGCUUACUUUUAAUUUCGAAUUUAAGCUAUUUUUAGAUUGUAUUUCUACUUGGACUCUUCUUUUCUUUUUCUUCGAUUAAUGUGGAAAUUUCUAGCCCCCACAGUGAACGUAAAAAUCAAAUAUAAUUAUCAUUGGGUUUAUUUUUUUUUACUUUUUAGAAGACCCGCCAAACGCCUUGACCGAUUGCUUCACGACCUGCCCGUUGUACUUCUUUUUAGUCGUCAUUAAUAUUCUAUUUGAUGUUUUAUUAAUAGUUUUUAGAUGUUCCAUCAACCGCCACCACUCUACUGCAUGUUACUUAAUUAAUCUCGUCAUGUGUUUCAGAUGGUCUUUUCUUUUAGUAAUCUUUAUUUUUUUAUCACCAAUUUUAGUUAUUUAUAAAUUGUAUUCCUAGCUGAUAUCUUAUUUUUCUUUUUCUAAUUUCAGAAUUUAUUUUAUUUUUCGUAUUGUGUUCUUUAGAUUUUUUUUAUUUUUACUUUGAAUUUCAGUUGUUUUAAAAUUGUAUUUCUACUUUAACUCUCUUUUUAAUUUUCCUAAUUUCAGAUUAUAUUUUAUUUUUUAUUCCGAAUUUUAGUUAAUCUACUAUUGGGUUCUUAUAUGUACUCUUAUUUCAAUAUUGCUUAUAUUUAAUUUCGAAUUUUAGUUAAUUUUAAAUUAUAUUCUUACUUGAACUAUUCUUUUCUUUUCCUUUUUCUAAUUUCGAUAUUUAUUUUUUUUAUUCCGAAUUUUAAUUAAUCUCGUAUUGGGUUAUUGUAUGGACUCUUCUUUUAAUAUUCCUUAUUUUAAUUCCUAAUUUCAGCUAUUUUUAAAUUGUAUUCCUACUUAGACUCUUUUUUUGCUAAUUUCGGAUUUUAUUUUAUUUUUAUUUCGAAUUUUGAUUAAUCUCGUAUUGGGUUCCUAUAUGGAAAUUUCUUUCAAUAUUGCUUACUUUUAAUUCCGAAUUUCAGCUAUUUUUAAAUUGUAUUCCUACUUGGACUCUCUUUUUCUUUUUUUUCUUUUUCUCUGAUUAAUGUGGGAAUUUUUAGCCCCCACAGCGAACGUGGUGCCUCCUUUCAAAGCUGUUUUGAUAAUAUAAUAGAUAGAUAUACAUGUGUGCAUACGCAUUAUGUACGUAGAAAUGGAGUGCCAAGAUCCUUUGCUCAAAAAAAGGGCAUUAUAUAUGUACGUAUACCACGUGCACACAUCUAUAAAUAUGUCCUCUAACGCAUGUCUAAAGAAUGAAGAUCGACAACAAAUUCCUGACCUCAAUCAUUAAUAUCAUAUUCAAAGCGUACUCACAUGGACGUGGUAUUCAUGAGCGAUAGGUUACUAGUGCAAACAGUGUUAAAACUGUUACCAGGAAAAUAUCCGAUGUACGAUUAGAGUGUACAAGGUUGCAACUUACGGAGUAUAUAUAACCAAAACACAAGAAGCCUUUUAAUAUACUGACUAUGAAAACUAUGUGCUACAUUAUAUUGGUGUUGGGCUUUCACUUAUUCUAUCUUAUUCAAAUUAUACAAAGGUUAAUUUCAUGGCUGUUGAGGACCGGUGUCUCCAUAUCCCGAUCCAUGACCUAAACCUUCACCAUAUCCACCUCUAGCGCUAUCACCGGCACCUCCACCGUCACCUUUACUCUUCGCAUACUCAUCACCGUAUUGAUUACCAGCCUCACCUAUACCAACGCCGGAACCAAAUCCAUGUCCAAAUCUAUUAGGUCCACCGUACCCACCACCACCUCCACUCCCUCGACCACCAGCCUUAUAGUAUCAAUUAUUAUAUGGCCAGCCGCCGUUAAAUUGACCAAAUCCAACCCCAGAUCCAUAGCCAUCUCCAUAUCCAUUUUGUCCGCCACCUUCCCCUCCACCUCCUCCUCUCCCCCAUGGCAUAGUUUCCAUCAUAAGGGCUAUAACCCCUAGAUUCACCAUACCUAGAGCCCAAACCAGAACUAGAACCAAACCCAUCAUGUUGUCCACCACCUCCGCCUUUGCCACCACCACCACCGUGUGCAAAUGAUGCACCACCAAAGCCAAUAGUUUCACCAUAACCCGAGCCAGACCCUGCACCAUACCCUGAUUCUCUGUUUGUCCCACCACCCCCACCUUUGCCACCACCGCUUCCCAUAGAAUACCCUCCAUCAUAAGGUUUGUAUUUCUUCCCUUCACUAUUUCCAGAACCAGACCCCAAACAAUAACCAAAUCCUCCAUUCCGCCCUCCGCCACCGCCCCCACCCUUUCCACCUCCACUAGCAUAUUGCCCGCUAGAAGGCCCAGAUGCCACAGACUCCCCAUAGCCAGACCCAAAACCUGAACCUGAUCCCCAACCAUUACCAUUGCUUGACCCACCACCGCCUCCUCCACCAGUUGCACUAGCAUAUGCUCCACUAGAAGGCCCAUAAGCUCUAGCCUCUCCAUGUCCUGCCCCAGAACCAGAUCCCCACCCGCCACCAUUUUCUGAGCUACCACCACCUCCUCCUCCACCACCACCUCCGCUUCCAACUUCGACACCAGUGCUGGAAUACCUAUUUACUCUCGUGGCGCUAGACGCUCCAAUGAUCAAUAAGAGCAUAGUGAAGCCAAGAAUUGCGAGCUUAGUGGCAUCCAUUGUGAGCGGAGUAAGAGAAGUGGAAGAUGGACUUCUAUGUGAGUAAUAGUGAUGUAUUUAUAGUAUAUAGUGUUAGUGAGAGUAAUUACAAAAAUGCACGCCUACAAAGGAGAUAUUUUAAAUAAUGAAGUAUGAUCAGUUGAUGAUAUUGAUUUGGGAAGGAAAGAAUCAAAUCAUUAAUACGAGUGCUGGAUCGAAUAUCACAGCGAUCGAGCAUCUGAUGUAGUAAGAAUUUAAUGAUCAGUCACAGCACUAGAUUGUUAAUUUACUGUGAUGAAAUAUCAGUGCAUUGUUUACUGGAGUACUAGUUAUUAUUAGUACUGAAAGCAGCAUCUUCUUCAGAUGUCAAAUGUAUAAGGGAGGCGCCGACCAAGAAGGCAAACAGAAUGGCUCAGAAUUUGUCUACUUAACGUAGGAUCCCUGGGUAUAGAGUCCCCUGCACAGACGUGCAUUGUUCAGACUGACAAUGAAGACGAUCUGCAACGCUGACUUUUUCUUCUUAUUCAUGUAUAAAUUGAUCUGCUUCUUACGAAUUUCUAUGUUCCAAAACAAUAGGAUCUAGAUCGGUCUAAGUAGUUAUAUAUAAGCCAUUUUUUUUUGUCGGUAUACGCUUAUUGAACGUGAGAAACCUUUGGUUGGGCCGAAAAAAAAAUCGAAGCUUGAAUAAAAAAAACCCAAUAACAUUAUAUUUGAAAAUUUGUAAUACCCAAGGAUCCAACGGCCCAUGUAGCCAUGCAUGCAUGUUUCUUUGCAAAAGCAGCCCAUAGUAGCCGAAGCCCAAUAACUGACCGGCUGAACGCCACAGUUGAUGUGUGUCCUCAGAAAAGCCGAUCGACCAGCUCAUCCAGUUCAUGAUCAGCACCGGGUUCACGAUUCCGACGAAAACCGGUCAAAUUCCGUGAAAUUUCGACGUUUCGAUAUGGCUCGGAAUUAAGUUUCGAUUGGAAUUUCGAAGGUUAAACAGUAGAUUUGGUCGAAAUUUAUCAAAAACUGUGACACCGAUAGGGCUCGAAAUUUAGUGGUCAACCGGUAAUGUAAACCUUGAUCAGCACUUAAAUGAUCGAUGUUGGAGAAUUAAAACCGUAGUGUAUCUGUUUGAUCAAAUUUCAACUUAUAUUGUUGACAAUAAGAUUUAAAGUUCUAUACUGGUUUGUUUUGGUAAGUUUACCGUGCUGGAACAUGAAACCUCAUUUAGUUUCUUCGGAAUUCAACGGCAGUAGAGUAGGAGACAUGGUUUGUGUGAGGUACUUAUUAAUUUAGUGGUAUUAUAUAGAGCCAAAGAUUGAUUAUGCUUCAUCAUCAUAUGGUAAGACAACAAGUAAGAACUUACAAAUUGAUUACACAACCACACAUUCAUAUACAGCCAAAGGCAAGGCCUUUAUUCCAUAUAUUAGUUGCAGCACACAAAACAUCUAAUUUAUCAUGUGUAGUACCAGCACACAAAACUUUAAUUCAGUACUUUAAUUCAGAUGAGGGUUUUAUGGGUGCCCACCACCAGACCCGCUUCCUGAGCCGCCUCCGUAGCCACUACCACCUGGACCGCUCCCACCACCUCCGCCGCCGCCACCACCACCGCCGCCGCUAGCAUAAGGUCCAUAAUAUGGCCCACCAGCUUGACCAUAUCCACCGCCAGCACCAUAACCAUACCCGCCGCCUCCACCGCCACCUGCACCGCCGCCACCACCACCGCUAGCAUAAGGUCCAUAAUAAGGCCCACCAGCUUGACCAUAUCCCCCGCCAGCACCAUAACCAUACCCACCGCCUCCACCACCACCGCCGCCACCACCACUCGCAGCUGCUCCGCCACUAGCAUAAGGUCCAUAGUAAGGUCCGUAGUAAGGUCCAUAGUAAGGUCCAUAUGGUCCAUAAUAACCACCUCCACCACCUCCACCGCCACCGCCACCACCUGCCUCCACCGCCUCCGCCUCCGCCCCCACCACCUCCAGCAUAGUAAGGUCCAUAAUAAGGCACAUAUCCUCCUGUUUGGCCACCACCACCUCCCCCACCACCACCGCCACCGCCGCCGGCGGCGUAUCUAGCUACCACCCCCAUCCUCGCAUUGGAUACUCCAAUACUUAGUAGCACGAAGAAGGUAAUAGCCAGAAGCUUGUUUCCAGCCAUUUUGAGCUUAUUCCGGUUGAAGGAUGAGAUAUGGAUGCCAAAGCAAGACUGCACGGUUAUUUAUAGUGCAGGCAGGGAGACCAUGCAAUUAUAUAUUGCAAAAUGACACUUGUAUAUGUAAAUAUAUGUACUAGUGUGACGAGAUGCAGCAGUAUUGCCCUUCGCGAACGAGUAAUACAAAAUGGAGUGGUUUUAAACACAUUAUGACUUUUGCUGGAUAAAUCCCUGCUAGUGAACCUUUAAAUUUUCUGACUUGGCCUGACUGUUACGUUUGGAUUAUAUAUGUGAGUUUAAUAUUUGAUAAUGAUGCUGCAUAAGGCCAGGUCAAGUAUCAAUACCACGUACUCGAGCUCAGGCAUUUGACCAUGCAUCCAUCGCAAAAAAGCAGCAGAUACAGCCAGACUGAUGACAAAAAACAUUUGCCACUAGCAGUAACGCAGAUGACAUUUGUUCUUAUUACCUAUAUAUAAAAAUCUAUGAGGCAUUGACAUUGUGCUGCUUAAUUACAACCAAAUUGUACAUAUGCUCAUUCGUACACUGGCUUUGUCUAAUCCGUGUAACUAGUGCUUUCAGCGCACACUGUACCACUCUGAACACCCUGAACAAAAUAACUGAACGGUUUUGCAGACUGCAGUGUGUUGUUUCACAAAUCAACGCUGCUAUACGUACGAUCUGGGUGUUUACGAUAUUCGUACUAUGAAACGCUUAUGCGUUUAUUAAUGGUGUGCCGUACGUCCGUCUUAUUCACGUUAGAUCAUUGAUAAGUACGCAUAGCAUUUUUCCUUUCGCAAAUCUCACAAAACAUGUAGCAUGCGUGCCAUGCCGUACGUUACUUGACUGAAACAUAUAAAAGCAUGCCUGAUUUCUAAAGCCCAUCGAUGAUAGCAGAUUGAUGAUCCGGACUGCAAUAUACAAAUUAAUCAUGAUUGGCUUCCAAGUGAACUAAGUGUGUGUUCGUUUGAAUCACUACUAAAAAACCAACCGGCUUAUAGAUGCCGAUUCAUUUAAAACUGAUACUUAUAAGUCUUUUCCCACCUCCGAUAUCUUUAAUUAAGAAAUAUAGGUGCCGGUUUAUUAGUUAAAACUGAUACGGUUAGUUAAAAAACUAACACCUAUAAUAUAAUAACCUAUAAUAUAUUAUAGGUAUCAGUUCUGUAAAAAAACCAGCACCUAUUCUAAAUCAAGCCGAUCUAGGCGAGACGAGCCGAUCGACCUGGCCUAUCUACGCGCGUUGCUCGAUCCUUAUCCUUAUCCCCUCCCCCCCCCCCGGGCUCUUCUGUGCGCUCUCCCCCUCGCCCCUUCCUCCGCCACGCCCUCCCCUCCCCCUCCCCUUUGGCCCCCCUCCCCCCUCUCCUCCUCCUCCGAUCCGCCAUACUCCCCUCCCGCCCCCUCCUAACUGGCGAGCAGUGUCGCCUGCGAUGGGCGGCCUCCCCACCGGCGGCGACCUCAGCGUGGGGAGGGAUGUAUGGGUGCGGCGACCUCGGCAUGGACAGGGACCUAGCGGCUGGCGACGAUCUCGUGCGGAGAGGGACCCGGUGGCUAGCGGCCACCUCAUGUGGAGAGGGACCUCGGCGGCGACCUCGUGCGGAGAGGGACCUCGGCGGUGACCUCACAUGGAGAGGGACCCCGGCGGUGACCUUGGUGGAUUGACGAGUGAGUUUGUGCAUCUUGCUUGUGUUCUUCAUCUGUGAUGGGAACUAUUGUUGUUUGUUGUUGAUGAUUUGUGAUGGAGAUUGUUGAUGUUCAUAUCUGUGAUUGGUGAUGGAUUGAAUUAGGGAUUGCUUGAAUGGAGAUUAUUAUUGUUCAUCUGCUUGAUUUGUGAUAUGUGAAAGCAUGCUUGAAUGGGGAUUAUUGAUGCGCAUCGGCUCGGCUUGGAGCCAGCUUCUUUUUUUUUUUUAAUCCGGAAGAGCACAAAGGUGACGGUUCUAUGACUGGCACCAAUAACACUAGGUCAUUGGUGCUGACCAAUUGGUGUCGGCUAGGAAACCGGCACCUAUUACCCGUUCCCAACCGGCACCUAUAGGGGAAUAUGUGCUUCGAUGCAAAGCACUACACACGAGUACACGGUACAUGGCUAUGUUCUUUCCCGAUCUUUCCUAACUCACCUUCUUCGUUUUUUGCGCGCAUGCUUCCCAAAGUACUAAACGGUGCGUAUUUUGAAAAAAAAUUCUAUAGAAAAGUUAUUUUAAAAAUUAAAUUAAUCUAUUUUUAAAAUUUAUUUCAGCUAAUAUUUAAUAAAUCAUGCACUAACCGCCACUCUGUUUUGCGUGUUGGGAGCUAGGGUUGUCAACCCUCACUCACUUCCGAACUCAGCCAUACAGGGCAGUUGCUCUGCUCAGAACAGAACAGCAUGUCCAGCAACCAGGCUUCUUCAUCAAAGAAUCAACCAGGCAAGGCACCUGCAAAAUCUGCAAUCACUUUCAGCUUUUUACAGAGCUGCUGCUGUUGAAACUUCGUUCUUGUUAGUUAACUUCUCUGAAAAUCCUGAAACUUGGUACUCACAUAGACUUAAAUCUGAAUCUGUGUACGUUUACGCGGUACAUGACGGGAUGCGUUUUAAGCAUUCUCAUAAUUAUAAAUUUAUAACAUGCAGAGAGGCCUAUUAUGUUUUAUUAUACAUGUAAAUUGGUUUUUGAUGAUGAAAGUGAAGUGAACUGAACCGGUGUCAGGAUACGCGUUGACGUUGUACUACUCGUACGUUCGUAGCGUGUGGCUGCAUAUGCAAUUGCAUUUAUAGUAUGCUAUAUUACACGUUGACACGCCUAUACCCACGCGGACUUGUAUUCCGUCAACGGGACAUUCUCUCGAUCGAUAAAGCUCCACAUUAAACUCUAUCC
rnacentral:lncRNA from 1 species